rnacentral:lncRNA from 1 species
GCGGAGCUUGCAGUGAGCCGAGAUUGCGCCACUGCACUCCAGCAUGGGCGACAGAGCGAGACUCCGUCUCAAAAAAAAAAAAAAAAGAAAAGAAAAAGAAAAAUGGUGACAGUAGGAGAAAUCUGACAGAGAGUAGACUCCACCUUGCUUCUGAUCUCUAGCGGCUCUUGCUCAUUCCUGGGCGUAAACCAAGCUAACCAUGGAGGAAUUUCGUUUGUAAUUCAACUUGAAAGCAAGGAUGCUAAUAGUCCUUUCCUGACACUAACCCUCCUCGCUCAGGGACCAAAAACUGCCUUUCAAAGACUAAUGAAAGGCCACAAGAAUAAUAUUAUGGGACAGGCCUGAAUAAAUGUAGCUGUAAUUUCUUUCUUUCUUUCUUUCUUUUUUUCUUUUUGAGAAAAAGUCUCACUCUGUCACCCAGGCUGGAGCACAGUGGUGCUAUCUCGGUUCACCACAACCUCCGCCUCGCAGGUUCAAGCGAUUCUCCUGCCUCAGCCUCCCGAGUAGCCGGGACUACAGGCGUGUGCCACCAUGCCCAGCUAAUUUUUGUAUUUUUAGUAGUAACAGAGUUUCACUAUGUUGGCCAGGCUGGUCUUGAACUCCUGACGUUGUGAUCUGCCCAUCUCUGCCUCCCAAAGUGCUGGGAUUAUAGGUGUGAGCCACCGUGCCACCCAGCAGUGUAGUUUGUUUGUUUGUUUGUUUCUUUUUUUCUUUCUUUCUUUUUUUCUUUCUUUCUUUCUUUCUUUUUUUCAGACAGGGUCUCACUCUGUUGCUUAGGCUGGAGUACAGUGGUAUGAACUUGGCUCAGUUGCAACCUCCAUUGCCUGAGCUCAGGUGAUCCUCCUGCCUCAGCCUCCUAAGUAGCUGGGACCACAGGCGCGUGCCACCAUGCCCAGCUAAUUUUUUGUAUUUUUUAUAGAGAUGGGGGUUUCACCGUGUUGCUCAGGCUGGUCUGGAACUCCUGGGCUCAAAGGAUCCUCCCACCUUGGCCUCCCAAAGUGUUGGGAUUACAGGCGUGAGCCACUGCUCUGGGCCUAUAAUCCUUUACUGCCCAGGAACAAUAUAGCCAGAGGCAGCUGGAUUUGUGACUUCCUCAAUUGCUCCAAUAGAUAACAUCACUAUUGUAGAACCUAAGAUUGGCCUUUUUUUCUUUUUGAGACACUUUUGUCUCCCAGGCUGGAGUGCAAUGGCACGAUCUCAGAUCACUGCAACCUCCGCCUCCUGGGUUCAAGCCAUUCUCCUACCUCAGCCUCCCAAGUAGCUGGGAUUAUAGGCACCCGCCACCAUGCCCGGGUAAUUUUUGUGUUUUUAGUAGAGACGGGGUUUCAUCAUAUUGGCCAGGCUGGUCUCAAACGCCUGACCUCAGAUGAUCCAGCUGCCUCGGGCUCCCAGAGUGCUGGGAUUACAGCCGCGAGCCACCGUGACCAGACGAAAUUGGUCUUUUGAGAUUUUUUUUUCAAACUUUCUGGUGUGAACCCCAAAUAUAUGAGACUGGUCUCAGUCAAUUUAGGAAGUUUAUUUUGUCAAAGUUAAGGACACAUGCUGUGACACAGCCUCAGGUGGUCCUGAUAAUAUGUGCCCAAAAUGGUCGGGGCACAGUUUGGUGUGACAUACUUCAGGGAGGCAUGCAACAUCAAUCAAUAUGUGUCAGGUGUCCAUUGGUUCGACCUGGAAGUGUGGGACAGCUUGAAGCAGGGAGAGGGCUCCCAAGUCAUAGGUAGAUAAGAGACAAAUGGUUGUGUUCUUUUGCAUUUCUGACUAGCCUUUACAAAGGAGGCAACCAGAUAUGCCUUUAUCUUAGUGAGCAGAGGGAUGACUUUGACUAGCGUGGAAGGCAGGUUUGCCAGGAGCAGUUCCCAGCUUGACUUUUCCCUUUGUGAUUUGGGGGUCCCUAGAUUUAUUUUCCUUUCACAUUGGCAACUGAGUGGCCCUACUGGGACCCGUGACUUGUGACCCAGCCAAUCCUGUGGCCCCACCCAGAGGCAGACUCAGCACAGGAGGACUGUUCUCCAUACCUGUAAGAUUUUUCUUUAUAUAUAUAUAUAGUGGCACUAUCACAGUUCACUGCAGCCUCCAACUCUGUGAUUGAAGUGAUCCUCCCACCUCAGCCUCCCAAGUAGCUAGAACUACAGGCAUGUGCCACCACGCCUGGCUAAUUGUUUUGUUGUUGUGGUGGUGGUGGUUGUUUUUGAGAUGGAGUUUCACUCUUGUUGCCCAGGCUGGAGUGCAGUGGCACAGUCUCGGCUCACUGCAACCUCCACCUCCCAGGUUCAAGCAAUUCUCCUGCCUCAGCCUCCCGAAUAGCUGGGAUUACAGGCGUGCGCCACCACACCCGGAUAAUUUUGUAUUUUUACUAGAGACAGGGUCUCUCCAUGUUGGUUAGGCUGGUCUAGAACUCAGGUUAUCCACCCUGGCCUCCCAAAGUGCUGAAAUUACAGGUGUGAGCUACUGCACUCGGCUGUUGUUGUUGUGUUCUUGUUGUUAUUGUUGUUUUUGAGAUGGAGUCUCGCUCUGUUGCCCAGGCUGGAGUGCACUGGCACAAUCUCGGCUCACUGCAACCUCUGCCUCCCGGGUUCAAGCGAUUCCUGUGCCUCAACACCCCCAUUAGCUGGGAUUACAGGCAUGCCCCACCAUGCCCCACUAAUUUUUAUAUUUUUAGUAGAGAUGGGGUUUCACCAUGUUGGCCAGGCUGGUCUCGAACUCUUGACCUCAGUUGAUCCACCCGCUUCAGCCUCCCAAAGUGCUGGGAUUACAGGCAUGAGCCACCACACCACUCCCUGGCUAAUUUUUAAAAAUUUUUUGUAGACAAGGGUUUCACUUUGUUGCCCAGGCUGGUCUCUAACUCCUGGCCUCAAAUGAUCCUCCCACCUCAGCCUCCCAAAGAGCUGGGAUUACAGGCAUGAGCCACAGUGCCCAGGUGAUACCCCUAUCAUUUCAUCUCAACCAUUUAGCUGCACCCAUCCUCUAGCUCCACGCCUACCAGAUUGUCCAUAAAAACCCUAACCUGCAAGCCUCUGGGGAGACUGAUUUGAGUAGGAACUCCAUCUCCCACGGGGCUGGACUCACAUUAAUUAAACUCUUUCUUUACUGCAAUACCGCAGUCAGUCUCAGUGACCUGAUGUCAUCUAUGCGGCAGGCAGGAAGAGCCCAUCAGGGAAUCAUAGUCUUGCUGUAAACCUGGGGAGAAAGUGACGGAUCAGAGGGAAGCUUCUUUGUACUUCUGAGUCAGUCAAGGCCUGACCCACAGAUCCGCAUGGCAGGAUCCUUCUGGAGGCUCCCCAGGGCCACAAGAGCAGCUUCCUGCACCACUGGGUCGUCUGUUCCCAUGAUGCCAGCUCAGUGGAGGGAGUAGAACCACUGCACUGAGGGAUGUGGUCCUGUUGCUCCGCACAGGCAGCCACUACUCUUUUUUUCUAUUUUUUUAGAAAUGAGUUCUCACCAUGUCGUCCUGGCUGGAGUGCAGUGGCAUGAUCACAUUGAGGGAAGACAGAGACCCUCUCAUAUUGUUUUAUACUCAGAAAAAGAAAGAGAAGCGAAACUAAAGGCAGGUAGCCCGGUGCCUAGGAAGCAGACCCGAAACCAGGCCUGGGCCUGCCUGACCUAAGCCUGGUAGUUAAAAUUCGACCCCUGACCUAGGAACUGAUGUUAUCUAUAGAUUCCAGACAUUGUGUGGAAGGACAUUGUGAAACCUCCAGUUCUGUUCUUUUUCACUCUGACCACCGGUGCUCGCAGCCCCUGUCACAUACCCCCUGGCUUUCUCAAUUGAUCACGACCCUCUCACACGGACCCCCUUAGAGUUGUGAGCCCUUAAAAGGGACAGAAGUUGAGCACCCAAGGAGCUCGGAUUUUAAGACGCUAGCGUGCCCAUGCUCCCAGCUGAUUACAGCCACUCCCUUCACUAUCUUGGUGUCUGAGGGGUUUUGUCCACGGCUCGUCCUGCUACAUUUCUUGGUUCCCUGACCGGGAAGUGAGGUGAUUAAUGGACAGUCGAGGCAGCUCCUUAGGUGGCUUUAGCCUGCCCUGUGGAACAUCCCUGCGGGGGACUCCAACCAGCUGGAGCGACACGGAUCCUGAGAGUGCUCCCGGGUAGGCAUUUGCCCCGGUGGGACGCCCCCCAGAGCAGUGUGUGGCAGGCUCCCAUGGAGGAUCAAUGCAGUGGCUGAACACCGGGAAGGAACUGGCACCUGGAGUCCAGACAUCUGAAACUUGGUAAGACUGGUCUUUGGAACUUGCCCACUCCAUUUGAGUGGAAGCGUGGCCUGAUCACCCACGGCGUGCCUGUACAGGCACUUUGGUUUUGGUUUUGACUUGGUUUGAAUUGCUUGACAGGACUGGUCUUGGGAACUUGCCCACUCCAUUUGAGUGGAAGGGUGGCCUGAUCACCCACAGUGUGCCUGUACCAGCACUUUGGUUUUUGUUUUUGACUUGACUUAGAUUGCUUGAUACUUUGGUUUUGGUUUUGACCUGGCUUGGAUUUCUGGAUACUCUGAUUUUGGUUUUGAUUUUGGUUUGGUGUAAACUGCAAAAGUGUGUGUGUGCCCUUUUUACCUGUUCUUUGUUUUGUGGUGUGCGUGUGGUGUGAGCGUGGUGUUUUGUCUUGAAGAAGCAUGGGUGAGAAACAAAUAAGCCCACCCUACUAGGAACUAUAUUGAAAAUUUUCAAGAAAGGAUUUGAGGGAGAUUACGGUGUUACUAUGACACCAGGAAAUCUUAGAACUUUGUGUGAAAUAGACCGGCCAGCAUUAGAGGUAGGUUGGCCAUCAGAAAGAAGCUUGGACACGGCCCUUGUUUCAAAGGUACGGCACAAAGUAACUUGUAAGCCAGGGCACCCAGACCAGUUUCUGUACAUAGACACUUAGUCACAGCUGGUUUUAGACCCCUUCCCCCCAACAGUAGUUAAGAGAGACAGAAAGUCAAAGAGAGAAGAAAAAGAGAAAGAGAGAAAUAUACAAGUAGUUAAGAAAAAAAACAGUAUACCCUAUUUCUUUAAAAGCCAAGGUAAAUUUAAAACCUAUAAUUGAUAAUUAAAGGUAUUCUCCAUAAGCCGGAAACACUCUAAUACCACUUUGUUGUCAGUGUAAACAAGGGCGUAUCCCGAAAGCAUUGAGGCCUUCCUAUCAAAAAUCCUUAACCCAGUAACCCGUGGAUGGCCCAGAUGCAUUCAAUCUGUAGCGGCAGCUGCUUUGCUAACAGAAAAAAAAGUAAAAAAAAAAAAAAAAAAGGCAGUUGCAGUUUUAACCCAGACUGUAGGGCCCCUGCCAAGGCCAGUGGCCUAUCUCUCAAAACAACUAGAUGGGGUUUCCAAAGGCUGGCCCCCAAGUCUAAGGGCCCUGGCAGCAAUGGCCCUGUUAGCACAAGAAGCAGAUAAGCUAACUCUUAGGCAAAACCUAAAGUCCCCCCAUACUGUGGUGACUUUAAUAAAUACCAAAGGACAUCAUUAGCUAAUGAAUGCUAGACUAACUAGAUACCAAAGCUUGCUCUGUGAAAAUCCCCGCAUAAGCAUCGAAGUUUGCAACACCCUAAGCCCCGCCACCUUGCUCCUGGUAUCAGAGAGCCCAGUUAAACAUAACUGUGUAGAAGUGUUGGACUCAGUUUAUUCUAGGGGGCCCAACCUCCGAGACCAUCCUUAAACAUCAGUAGACUGGGAGCUGUACGUGGAUGGGAGCAGCUUCGCCAACUCCUGCAAAGUAACUCUGAAGAAGACGACAAGCCCUGCUCCAGUCACACCCGGAAGCUGACUGGUCCACACACGGCCGAAGCAUGAGACAACUCAUCGCGGGACUCAUUUUCCUUAAAAUUUGGACUUGUACAGUAAGGACUUCAACUGACCUUCCUUAGACUGAGGACUGUUCCCAGUAUAUACAUCAAGUCACUAAGGUAGGACAAAAGAUUGCUACAGUCCUGUUAUUUUAUGGUUAUUAUAAGUGUACCGGGACUCUAAAAGAAACUUGUUUGUAUAAUGCUAUUCUAUCCAAGGUAUGUAGCUCAGGAAAUAACCAACCUGAUGCCUGUUAUGACCCAUUUUAAGCCUCCCAUGAUCACAGUUUUUAGAAUAAAAUUAAGGACUGGUCAUUUUCUAGGCGACGCAAGUAAAGUAACAGCUAAGACAGAAGAAAGAUGGGUCCCCAAGCAUAUAACCCUAAAACUUAAUGCUUGUGCCACUAUCAAUAGCAAUCGGCAUAGGAUAAGAUGUGGUUCUUUAAAUUGAAAAAAAAAAGUUACACGGCAGGAAAUAAGUAUAUCUGCCAUGAAUUAAGCUCAUGUGCAACUGUGUGUAAUUACUGGUCUUGUGUCAUCUGGACUACUUGGAAAAAGGAUGAAAAAAUCCUGUUUAGCUCCAAAAAGGAGAAGGCAGCCCCGCCUGUAUGAGUGGAAGCUGCAACCCCUUAAAAUUAGUAAUUACAAAUCCCUUAAACCCAAGGUAGAAAAAAAGAGAACACAUAUCUCUGGGCAUGGAUAGAAAAGGACUAGAUCCUAGAGUAAAUAUCGUAGUAAAAGAGGAGGUUCAUAAACUCUCUCUAGAACCAGUAUUUCAGACUUUCUAUGAUGAACUAAAUGUGCCAGUACCAGAGACUCCAGGAAAAACCAGAAAUCAUUUUUGCAAUUAGCCAAGCAUGUAGCCCAGUCUCUAAAUGUCACUUCAUGUUAUGUUUGUGGAGAAACUGUAAUAGGAGAUCAAUGGCCAUAAGAAGCCUGAGAAUUAGUGCCUACAGACCCAGUUCCUGAUGAAUUCCCGGCCCAAAAGAAAUCACCUUGAUCAUUUCUAGGUUCUAAAAGUCUCAAUUAUUAGAAAAUAUUGCAUAGUUUAAAAAAGGAAAGAAUUCACUCAUUCUGUAGGAUGACUUAGUUGCCUUGGACAAAAACUGUAUAAUGGUACCACAAAAACAGUUACAUGUGGAGUUCAAGCCAUACAGAUAAAAAUCCAUUCAGUAAAUUUCCAAAGUUGCUGACUGUUUGGGCCCCCCCAGAAUCCCACUGGGGCUGGAGGCCCCCACUGGGCUAUACUAGAUAUGUAGACAUCCAGCCCAUGCUAAGCUGCCUGACCAGUGGACAGGUAGUUGUGUUAUUGGCACUAUUAAACCAUCUUUCUUCCUACUGCCCAUAAGAACAGGUGAACUCCUGGGCUUCCCUGUCUAUGCCUCCUGCAAAAAGUGAAACAUAGCCAUAGAUAAUUAAAAAGAUGAUGAAUGGCCUCCUAAAAAAAUUAUACAAUACUCAUGAUUGUGGGCGCCUGUAGUCCCAGCUACUCAGGAGGCUGAGGCAGGAGAAUGGCGUGAACCCGGGAGGCGGAGCUUGCAGUGAGCCGAGAUCACACCACUGCACUCCAGCCUGGGUGACAGAGCGAGACUCCGUCUCAAAAAAAAAAAAAAAAAAAAUUAUACGAUACUAUAGGCCUGCCACUUAGACAUAACACAGGUCAUGGGGAUACCGGACCCCCAUUUACAUGCUCAACGAAAUCAUACAGUUGCAAGCUGUUUUAGAAAUCAUCACUAAUAAAACCGGUCAAGCCUUGACUGUUCUGGCCCAGCAAGAAACUCGGAGAAGAACUGCUAUCUAUCAAAAUACACUGGCUAGCAGCUACUUGCCAUCGAUCAAUAGAUCGACUACUUGCUAGCAGGCGAAAGAGAGGUCUACAAGAAAUUUAACCUUACUAAUUACUGUGUACACAUAGAUAAUUAAAGACAAGUAGUUAAAGACAUAGUUAGAAAUAUGACAAAACUGGCACAUGUGCCCUUGCAAGUGUAACACGGAUUCGGCCCUGGAGCCAGGUGGUUCCCAGCACUAGAAGGAUUUAAAACUCUUAUAAUAGGAGUUAUAAUAGUAACAGAAACCUGCUUACUGCUCCCUUAUUUGCUACCUGUACCUCUUCAAAUGAUAAAAAGCUUCAUCGCUACCUUAGUUCACCAAAAUGCAUCAGCACAAGUGUACUAUAUGAAUCACUAGCAAUCUAUUGUACAAUGUAAUGCCCAACCUUGUUCUUACUAACCCUGUUCUUAGACUCUCCCUUUCCUUUACUCACCUAGCCUCAUUUCCACCUGAAUGGACUCUCCCUUAGCUGAGAGAGCCAGACAGACUCCAUCUUGGCUCUUUCCCUGGCAGCCCCUUCCUCAAGGACUUAACUUGUGCAAGCUGACUCCCAGCACAUCCAAGAAUGCAGUUAACUGAUAAGAUACUGUGGCGAGCUAUAUCCGCAGUUCCCAGGAAUUCGUCUGAUUGAUAACGCCCAAAGCCAAGACUAUCAUCUUGUAAUAGUCUUAAAGCCCCUGCACCUGGAACUGUUUACUUUCCUGUAACCAUUUAUCCUUUUAACUUUUUUGCCUACUUUACUUCUGUAAAAUUGUUUUAACUAGACCCCCCCUCCCCUUUCUAAACCAAAGUAUAAAAGAAAAUCUAGCCCCUUCUUCGGGGCCAAGAGAACUUUGAGCAUUAGCCAUCUCUUGGCCGCAGGCUAAAUAAACGGACUCUUAAUUCGUCUCAAAGUGUGGCGUUUUCUCUAACUCGCUCAGGUACAACAACAAGAAGACAUAAGUGGCAAAGAUAAGAGUGAGAACUCCCACUAAUAAAAAGUGAGAGUCUCAAAGCAGGGGAAUGAGGUAAGAGAGAGACCCUCUCAUAUUGUUUUAUAUUGUUCUAUACUCAGAAAAAGAGAAGUGAAACUAAAGGCAGGUAGCCCGGCGCCUAGGAAGCAGACCCGAAACCAGGCCUGGGCCUGCCUGACCUAAGCCUGGUAGUUAAAAUUCGACCCCUGACCUAGGAACUGAUGUUAUCUAUAGAUUCCAGACAUUGUGUGGAAGGACAUUGUGAAACCUCCCGUUCUGUUCUUUUUCACUCUGACCACCGGUGCUCGCAGCCCCCGUCACAUACCCCCUGGCUUGCUCAAUCGAUCACGACCCUCUCACACGGACCCCCUUAGAGUUGUGAGCCCUUAAAAGGGACAGAAGUUGAGCACUGAGGAGCUCGGAUUUUAAGACGCUAGCCUGCCCAUGCUCCCAGCUGAUUACAGCCACUCCCUUCACUAUCUUGGUGUCUGAGGGGUUUUGUCCACAGCUCAUCCUGCUAAAACAGCUCACUACAAUCUCAAACUCCUGAGCUCCAGUGAUUCUCCUGCCUGUGAAAGGAAAACAAAUCUUGCCCCUGCCCCCACCCCAAAUCACUAAGCUAAAGGGAAAAGUGAAGCUGGAAACUGCUUAGGGCCAACCUGCCUCCCAUUCUAUUCAAAGUCACCCCUCUGCUCACUGAGGUAAAUGCAUGUCUGAUGGCCUCCUUUGAAAAGACUAAUCAGAAACUCAAAAGAAUGCAACCAUUUGUCUGUCUCCUACCUGUGACCUGCAAGCCCCCUCCCCGCUUCCUGUCUUCCUGCCUUUGCUUCAGGUUGUCCUGCCUUCCAGACCGAACCAAUGUACUUCUUACCUAUAUUGAUUGAUGUCUCACGUCUCCCUAAAAUGUAUAAAACCAAACUG